UGGGGAAUAUUGCGCAAUGGGCGAAAGCCUGACGCAGCGACGCCGCGUGAGGGAUGAAGGUUUUCGGAUCGUAAACCGCUGUCAGAAGGGAAGAAACCGCACUGUGCUAAUCAGCAGUGCCUUGACGGUACCUUCAAAGGAAGCACCGGCUAACUCCGUGCCAGCAGCCGCGGUAAUACGGAGGGUGCAAGCGUUAAUCGGAAUUACUGGGCGUAAAGCGCACGUAGGCUGCUUUGUAAGUCAGGGGUGAAAUCCCACGGCUCCACCGUGGAACUGCCUUUGAUACUGCUUAGCUUGAAUCCGGGAGAGGGUGGCGGAAUUCCAGGUGUAGGAGUGAAAUCCGUAGAUAUCUGGAGGAACAUCAGUGGCGAAGGCGGCCACCUGGACCGGUAUUGACGCUUAGGUGCGAAAGCGUGGGGAGCAAACAGG
rnacentral:rRNA from 1 species